GUUUGCUUCCCCCAGUGGGUGAAUAUUAUUCUGGUGCUUUUCAAAGUGUGGUGGAAUUUCCUUUCCUUCUUGCUGGUGCUGUGUGGGUGGUCUGUGCACAUCGUAGUGGCGAAGUAAAUCGGUUUUGAGGCUUUAUGAGUAAGCCUCGGUGGGAUCUGUAAGGAUCGGCAAAGCGGUUUUUUGCCCUGACGACGGUAGGAUUGCGUUGAAAACGAAUAAAAACAACAUUGCCCGAUGUGAUUUGAAGUCGGUACGGUAUUAGUUGGCAGUUGUUGUUGAUAAAAAGUGUUUUUUCAAGAUUCGUACAGAUAACAACGAAGAAAAGGCCCACAGCUGCUGAUUACUUAUUUAUAGUGGAUGAAUUUUACAGCAGCCAUCUGCUAUUGCAUCCGUUUAUCAGGAAAUUUCUUUGCAAGGCAGAGGAUUAUCUGAAGAUAACGUGGAAAACCCGACAGCGGUGAAUCUAACUAAAGAAUAUAAAGAUUGUGAUUGAAAUUUUCUUCAACGGUCAGAAUUGUUUACGUGAAAAACAACGGUGUUGAGGUGUGUUCUGGAGCUCAUUGAAUUUUGUUUUACAUUGAGAAGUCAAACGGAGUGUUUCGAGGAAGUGUGUUGUUUACAUUGGGCAGAAAAUUUGGUAGAUCAUUAACAAUAGGAAGAAAGCUAAUUAUCGGAUUGUCGGUGUUGGAGUGCUGAAGACGAAAAAAUAUUUUUGGGAAGAGUAGACAUCAUUUACCAACCACAACGAAAAAUUGUGCAACCAGCUAGGUAUUGAGAUUACCCAUUGAAUGACUGUUCGACCGGCAUCAUCUUUUCUCAUCGAUCGACGAAAAACCUCCAGCCUGCCCACCACCACGCCCGCGUCAGCUUAGAGC